rnacentral:rRNA from 1 species
AUUGAACGCUGGCGGCAGGCCUAACACAUGCAAGUCGAGCGGAUGACGGGAGCUUGCUCCUUGAUUCAGCGGCGGACGGGUGAGUAAUGCCUAGGAAUCUGCCUGGUAGUGGGGGACAACGUUUCGAAAGGAACGCUAAUACCGCAUACGUCCUACGGGAGAAAGCUGGGGACCUUCGGGCCUUGCGCUAUCAGAUGAGCCUAGGUCGGAUUAGCUAGUUGGUGGGGUAAUGGCUCACCAAGGCGACGAUCCGUAACUGGUCUGAGAGGAUGAUCAGUCACACUGGAACUGAGACACGGUCCAGACUCCUACGGGAGGCAGCAGUGGGGAAUAUUGGACAAUGGGCGAAAGCCUGAUCCAGCCAUGCCGCGUGUGUGAAGAAGGUCUUCGGAUUGUAAAGCACUUUAAGUUGGGAGGAAGGGCAGUAAGCUAAAACCUUGCUGUUUUGACGUUACCGACAGAAUAAGCACCGGCUAACUACGUGCCAGCCGCCGCCGUAA